rnacentral:rRNA from 1 species
GAUGAACGCUGGCGGCGUGCCUAACACAUGCAAGUCGAACGGAGUUCUCUUCGGAGAACUUAGUGGCGGACGGGUGAGUAACGCGUGAGAAUCUGCCUUGAGGAUGGGGACAACAGAGGGAAACCGCUGCUAAUCCCCAAUAUGCCGGAAGGUGAAACGGAGAAAUCCGCCUUAAGAGGAGCUCGCGUCCGAUUAGCUAGUUGGUGUGGUAAAAGCAUACCAAGGCGACGAUCGGUAGCUGGUCUGAGAGGACGAGCAGCCACACUGGGACUGAGACACGGCCCAG